UCGCGUACUCGACGAGCGCCUUCAUGUCGGCCGGCUCGAAAUUGGCGCGGGCGACGAUGGUCAUCGGCACGUCGGUGACGAGGCCGACGUACUCGAAC
rnacentral:tRNA from 1 species